rnacentral:rRNA from 1 species
GGCCGCGGGAAUUCGAUUAACACAUGCAAGUCGAGCGGAGAUACUUUUAUAAGCUUGCUUAAGGAGUAUCUUAGCGGCGGAUGGGUGAGGAACGCGUGGAGAACCUGCCCUUCACAGGGGGAUAACAGUUGGAAACGACUGUUAAUACCGCAUAUGCUCACAGCACCGCAUGGUGCAGGGAGGAAAGCGCUAGUGGUGAAGGAUGGCUCCGCGUCGGAUUAGCCAGUUGGCGGGGUAACGGCCCACCAAAGCGAUGAUCCGUAGCCGGCCUGAGAGGGCGACCGGCCACAUUGGGACUGAGACACGGCCCAAACUCCUACGGGAGGCAGCAGUGGGGGAUAUUGCACAGGGGGCGAAAGCCUGAUGCAGCGACGCCGCGUGAAGGAAGAGGUACCUCGGUAUGUAAACUUCUAUCAGCAGGAAGAAG